GCGUCGGUGGUGCAACGGUUCAGCGCACGCUCCCGGAAAGAGUGAGAUCUGGGUUCGUAUCAUUGCUGACGCA